rnacentral:rRNA from 1 species
CCGAGUUGUAAUUUGCAGAGGGUGCUUUGGUGUCGGCCGUGGUCUAAGUUCCUUGGAACAGGACGUCACAGAGGGUGAGAAUCCCGUACGUGGCCGCCGGUCUUCACCGUGUAAAGCCCCUUCGACGAGUCGAGUUGUUUGGGAAUGCAGCUCUNAAUGGGAGAUACAUUUCUUCUAAAGCUAAAUAUUGGCCAGAGACCGAUAGCGCACAAGUAGAGUGAUCGAAAGAUGAAAAGCACUUUGGAAAGAGAGUCAAAAAGCACGUGAAAUUGUUGAAAGGGAAGCGCUUGCAGCCNGACNUGCCCGCAGUUGCUCACCUGGGCUCUCGCCCGGGGGAUUCUUCUGCGGGCAGGCCAGCAUCANUUCGGGCGGUUGGAUAAAGGCCUCUAU